rnacentral:misc_RNA from 1 species
UACGCCCGGCUUUGCUGAACG